ACGUCUUACAGACACAAGAGUUCAGUUCUCAGUGAGUCUACGUGACAGAGGAAUGGACACAUCCCUGAGCCUGCUCAUCCUUUGGUUACAACUAGACUGGGUGAGCAGUAAACAGGACGUGAGUCAGAGUCCUGAAGCUCUGAGCGUGAGAGAGGGAGACAGCUUGGUUCUCAACUGCAGUUACACCGACGGCGCUCUGUACUUCCUUCAGUGGUUCAGGCAGGAUCCCAGGAAAGGGCUCACAUCUCUAUUGUCAAUUCAGGCGAACCAGAAAGAGAAAGCAAGUGGAAGAAUUACAGUCUCAUUGGAUAAAUCAUCAAGACACAGUGCUUUAUACAUUGCAACUUCUCAGCACAGUGACUCGACCACCUACCUCUGUGCUGUGAGGCACAGUGCACCCAGGGAACCUGUUCCCAGUACUCAAACUGCAGAUGGGACUCCAACCACGUCCUGUCUUGGCGCUGAGGAAACUUUUUCCAUUAAGGGGUUCCUGUAUUGA